rnacentral:rRNA from 1 species
UACGUAGGCAGCAAGCGUUGUUCGGAGUUACUGGGCGUAAAGAGUGCGUAGGCGGUUCUCUAAGUUUGGUGUGAAAUCUCCCGGCUCAACCGGGAGGGUGCGCCGAAAACUGGAGGGCUCGAGUGUGGGAGAGGUAAGCGGAAUUCCUGGUGUAGCGGUGAAAUGCGUAGAUAUCAGGAAGAACACCCGUGGCUAAGGCGGCUCUCUAGUACGGUACUGACGCUGAGACGCGAAAGCGUGGGGAGCGAACAGG